AUAAACGACUCUCGGCAACGGAUAUCUCGGCUCACGCAUCGAUGAAGAACGUAGCAAAAUGCGAUACUUGGUGUGAAUUGCAGAAUCCCGUGAACCAUCGAGUUUUUGAACGCAAGUUGCGCCCGAAGCCAUUCGGUCGAGGGCACGUCUGCCUGGGCGUCACG
rnacentral:rRNA from 4 species